ensembl:lncRNA
CAGAUCAUCAGCUGUGGCAGAGACCUCCCCAUCCCACAGGCAUUUGCAUCAUUAAGAUAACAAGUCACACAGCUAGAUGUGAGCACAAACACAUACAUGCAUACAGAAGAAAUCUCAGCAAAGUCAAGGAUGUUUAAACUUUUGUUUAAGUUUGGCCAAAUAUCAAAGAGUUUGAAAAAAAUGCAAAUGAAGGAAAUCCAUAACCAAACCUAAGCCCCAGGCUCCUGAAGUCUUUGAGCUGAAGUUCUCAACCUUCAUAUAAGUACUUGGAUGUUUCCUAUCUAAAAUCAAAUUGCUCCCAUCAAAUCCCUCCCAUCCCACCUGUCUAGACAAGGCUUGUACAGCACAAACGUAUGUUGUCCUAUACAUACAUGCUGUUCUGUUCCCUCACAUGCACACAAAUUCUUACAUCUGGUUUUUACAUCUCUGCCAUACUGGCCAGGUCACUUCUACUUGCUAUUUUCAAUGGCUAUGUGCCUACAUACUGAAUCACUCACAAUGCAAUCAGGUAGAAAGCAGAAAAUUCUCUGAAUAAAAUGGAAGAGCUUCCCUGAACAGUGUCCAGCCCUCCACUCUUCAGUUUUCCUUACUAUAUAUUUAUCUAUUCACCUGUUACUGGACAUGAAUAUAUCAUUGUGCCGAGUAAAAAUAUUCUUUUUCUUUUUUAUUUUUAUCUAAGUUUUCUACUCAAGUUUUAAGUUUGGGGAGCUGAAGAUUGUUUUGGGUCUCAGAAAGGAGCCCUAGUUUUACACUGAGCUUUAUAGUGAGCAGUACUUAUGAGGAUGAAAUGGCAUUUGGAAAGGAGGAACCAAAAUCCAAAGAAAUCAUUCACAGAAAGGUGAUCACACAAAGUUGUUUUGAUGUUUGUUCAAUAUUUCCCAAUUAUUUUCACCUGAGGAAAUGUAAGAGUAAGAGGACACAGUUUUAUGGCAUAUGAGUAAGGGUCUUCUGUCCUUCAAAAAUGCUGAGUUGAUGCGCAAACUGACACUGGUUCAGUCCCUGUUUAGCAUUCUAUUUUUGUCUGAAGCUACACAAUUAAACAGUAUUUCUGUGUAUUCAGAGAAUUCUGUUCCUGUUCACUGGAAACCUAAGCUUCUGUCUUCCAGAAAGAAAUCACUUUUAGCCGAAAUGAUACAUGAGAAAGAACUUGACCUCUGUACAAAUAUCCUUGUCUCCAUCUAGCUUCCAUAAAGCUAGUGGAAAGCUCCUAAGAAGAGCUGGGUUGGAUACUCUUGUACAUAAACCAGGAUAUAUAGCCCCAUAACUUUUUCUCAACAUGUCUUAUUUAUUCAGUGUAUUCCAUUGUCUCUUUCCAUGGGGACCUUUGCAAUCUCCUCUGUCAAUAAUGCCAGUCAUCAAAUCCCAAUGGCCAAAUUGCUACAGUCAUAAUUGUCACCUCUUUUUUUUUUUUUUUUUUUGCUUUGCCGUGCUUUCUCAUCUGCCAGCAUCCACAUAUUUAAGAUGUAGUAGCCUACUGAAACAACCAGGUAACAUGCAGAGAAUAACAAAGUUCUUUUUUUGCUUGUCUUGUUUCCACUUCUAUUCUAUUAGACUCUCUCUUUUUUUUUUUUCUUUUUAAUUUGACUGCUUUGCCUACAUUAAACCCCAAUGAUGGAGCAAGGUGUUAUUCCAGUGGGGCAGAAUCCAGCACAGACUGUGAUCCCUUUAGGCAAUGAAUUGCUUUUCUCUUUUUAUGUUGAAGUGCCCAGCAUAUUUUGAAGGAAGAGUUUAGAAUAAUGACUAUUGAUGCUGCUACCACACAGGGCAGAAGAGUCCUUGAUGGUUCCGGCUGUCUGGCUUUCUAGGGUAGAGCUGUGGGCAAUCAAUUAACUCCACCAGUCCGAAAAGCAGAAAUGCAUGCAAGCAGACAUCAAAUCCUGCUUACAAGCAAUGCAAACUGAAUACAGCAACUUUGGAGAUUAAUGUUCCUGGACCAGAAGGGACACCAGCAGUGUGUUACUAUCUGGCAGAUCUACAGCAUAGUACAUGGAGAUGCUACCAGCCCCACCCAAAAUUACAUGUUAUGUAACCAAGUGAGAUGCAUUAAGAUCAUCUCCAACAUCGCCAUCUCCUGACUUUGAAUGAUAGUGCAUGUUGCUUCUGUGACAAUUGGUAUUCAAGAAAUGAAAAAAUGGCACUCAAGAUUUCUGUUCUGAAUUAAAAAAAAUAAUAAUAAUCAAUUUUGCACUGAAUUUUUCUUCUUUGUAUUCUGAAAUGUUUUGUAGCUGAUUAUCAAAUAAUUUAUCUUUGAUUUUGUAGUUAUUGUUUGCGUAAGACCCCAUUAACUCUUACAGGGUAGGUGGGCAACUGAAAACGUCAGCAUAUAUAGAAGAAAUUCAAGAACUUCAAGCACUGUAAGCUGUAGAGAGAGUUCCAAGUAACUCUUCAGCAACCUCUGCAAAGUUCCUCUCUUCUGGAAAAUGAAUACUAACCCAGGACAAGAGAAGACUGACGCCUGAUCAAGCCGUGGAAAUCUCCCUGAUGACUUCACUGGGCUCUUGCAUGUACAUAUAGAGCAGUCAUCUCCAUCCACUUACAGUCCUGCACUGAUGAUGUUCACUUGAACUGUGAAAUGGUUAGCAUUUAAAAGUUGUCCCUUCUACGUGAAUCCUGCUGUGCCUCACGUUUUAUAAUGCCGAGUGUUGUUAAAUGUUUGAGCAAUAUUGCAAUUGUUUCUAUUUGUUGAAUUUAUAUGAAAGCUAUUAUCUGUGACUUGUUAUUAUGCUAUGUGAAGAGAUUCCAACCCUUUUUUCUCCCCUCUAAUCCGUACCACCAAUAAGAAAAGGAACAUAAAUAAAUAAAUAC